GGGUCGAUGGCGUAGUUGGUUAUCGCAUCUGUCUAACAUUCAUGUGUCUUUGGAUAUUACACAGAAGGUCCUCAGUUCGAGCCUGGGUCGACUCA